rnacentral:rRNA from 1 species
UGAGGAAUAUUGGACAAUGGGCGAAAGCCUGAUCCAGCAAUACCGCGUGAGUGAAGAAGGCCUUCGGGUUGUAAAGCUCUUUCAGCAGGGAAAAUAAUGAUGGUACCUGCAAAAGAAGUUCCGGCUAACUCCGUGCCAGCAGCCGCGGUAAUACGGAGGGAACUAGCGUUGUUCGGAUUUACUGGGCGUAAAGGGCGCGUAGGCGGUUUGUUAAGUUAGAAGUGAAAGCCCAGGGCUUAACCCUGGAACUGCUUCUAAAACUGGCAGACUAGAGUGCGGGAGAGGAUAGUGGAAUUCCUAGUGUAGAGGUGAAAUUCUUAGAUAUUAGGAGGAACACCAGUGGCGAAGGCGACUAUCUGGAACGUUACUGACGCUGAGGCGCGAAAGCGUGGGGAGCAAACAGG